CCGGCGAACGGGUGCGUAACACGUGAACAACCUGCCCUCGUGUGGGGGAUAGCCAUGCUAACGCGUGGGUAAUACCGCAUACGUUCUCUUUGGGGAGUCCCGAGGAGAGGAAAGCUCCGGCGCACGGGAGGGGUUCGCGGCCUAUCAGCUAGUUGGCGGGGUAAUGGCCCACCAAGGCGACGACGGGUAGCUGGUCUGAGAGGAUGGCCAGCCACAUUGGGACUGAGAGACGGCCCAG
rnacentral:rRNA from 1 species